rnacentral:rRNA from 1 species
AUGAGUUAUGUCAUGUUAUCGAUAUGUGAAUACAUAGCAUAUCAGAAGGCACACCCGGAGAACUGAAACAUCUUAGUACCCGGAGGAAGAGAAAGAAAAUUCGAUUCCCUUAGUAGCGGCGAGCGAAACGGGAAGAGCCCAAACCAACAAGCUUGCUUGUUGGGGUUGUAGGACACUCUAUACGGAGUUACAAAGGACGACAUUAGACGAAUCAUCUGGAAAGAUGAAUCAAAGAAGGUAAUAAUCCUGUAGUCGAAAAUGUUGUCUCUCUUGAGUGGAUCCUGAGUACGACGGAGCACGUGAAAUUCCGUCGGAAUCUGGGAGGACCAUCUCCUAAGGCUAAAUACUCUCUAGUGACCGAUAGUGAACCAGUACCGUGAGGGAAAGGUGAAAAGCACCCCGGAAGGGGAGUGAAAUAGAACCUGAAACCGUGUGCUUACAAGUAGUCAGAGCCCGUUAAUGGGUGAUGGCGUGCCUUUUGUAGAAUGAACCGGCGAGUUACGAUUUGAUGCAAGGUUAAGCAGUAAAUGUGGAGCCGUAGCGAAAGCGAGUCUGAAUAGGGCGUUUAGUAUUUGGUCGUAGACCCGAAACCAGGUGAUCUACCCUUGGUCAGGUUGAAGUUCAGGUAACACUGAAUGGAGGACCGAACCGACUUACGUUGAAAAGUGAGCGGAUGAACUGAGGGUAGCGGAGAAAUUCCAAUCGAACCUGGAGAUAGCUGGUUCUCUCCGAAAUAGCUUUAGGGCUAGCCUCAAGUGAUGAUUAUUGGAGGUAGAGCACUGUUUGGACGAGGGGCCCCUCUCGGGUUACCGAAUUCAGACAAACUCCGAAUGCCAAUUAAUUUAACUUGGGAGUCAGAACAUGGGUGAUAAGGUCCGUGUUCGAAAGGGAAACAGCCCAGACCACCAGCUAAGGUCCCAAAAUAUAUGUUAAGUGGAAAAGGAUGUGGCGUUGCCCAGACAACUAGGAUGUUGGCUUAGAAGCAGCCAUCAUUUAAAGAGUGCGUAAUAGCUCACUAGUCGAGUGACACUGCGCCGAAAAUGUACCGGGGCUAAACAUAUUACCGAAGCUGUGGAUUGUCCUUUGGACAAUGGUAGGAGAGCGUUCUAAGGGCGUUGAAGCAUGAUCGUAAGGACAUGUGGAGCGCUUAGAAGUGAGAAUGCCGGUGUGAGUAGCGAAAGACGGGUGAGAAUCCCGUCCACCGAUUGACUAAGGUUUCCAGAGGAAGGCUCGUCCGCUCUGGGUUAGUCGGGUCCUAAGCUGAGGCCGACAGGCGUAGGCGAUGGAUAACAGGUUGAUAUUCCUGUACCACCUAUAAUCGUUUUAAUCGAUGGGGGGACGCAGUAGGAUAGGCGAAGCGUGCGAUUGGAUUGCACGUCUAAGCAGUAAGGCUGAGUAUUAGGCAAAUCCGGUACUCGUUAAGGCUGAGCUGUGAUGGGGAGAAGACAUUGUGUCUUCGAGUCGUUGAUUUCACACUGCCGAGAAAAGCCUCUAGAUAGAAAAUAGGUGCCCGUACCGCAAACCGACACAGGUAGUCAAGAUGAGAAUUCUAAGGUGAGCGAGCGAACUCUCGUUAAGGAACUCGGCAAAAUGACCCCGUAACUUCGGGAGAAGGGGUGCUCUUUAGGGUUAACGCCCAGAAGAGCCGCAGUGAAUAGGCCCAAGCGACUGUUUAUCAAAAACACAGGUCUCUGCUAAACCGUAAGGUGAUGUAUAGGGGCUGACGCCUGCCCGGUGCUGGAAGGUUAAGAGGAGUGGUUAGCUUCUGCGAAGCUACGAAUCGAAGCCCCAGUAAACGGCGGCCGUAACUAUAACGGUCCUAAGGUAGCGAAAUUCCUUGUCGGGUAAGUUCCGACCCGCACGAAAGGCGUAACGAUUUGGGCACUGUCUCAACGAGAGACUCGGUGAAAUCAUAGUACCUGUGAAGAUGCAGGUUACCCGCGACAGGACGGAAAGACCCCGUGGAGCUUUACUGUAGCCUGAUAUUGAAAUUCGGCACAGCUUGUACAGGAUAGGUAGGAGCCUUUGAAACGUGAGCGCUAGCUUACGUGGAGGCGCUGGUGGGAUACUACCCUAGCUGUGUUGGCUUUCUAACCCGCACCACUUAUCGUGGUGGGAGACAGUGUCAGGCGGGCAGUUUGACUGGGGCGGUCGCCUCCUAAAAGGUAACGGAGGCGCUCAAAGGUUCCCUCAGAAUGGUUGGAAAUCAUUCAUAGAGUGUAAAGGCAUAAGGGAGCUUGACUGCGAGACCUACAAGUCGAGCAGGGUCGAAAGACGGACUUAGUGAUCCGGUGGUUCCGCAUGGAAGGGCCAUCGCUCAACGGAUAAAAGCUACCCCGGGGAUAACAGGCUUAUCUCCCCCAAGAGUUCACAUCGACGGGGAGGUUUGGCACCUCGAUGUCGGCUCAUCGCAUCCUGGGGCUGUAGUCGGUCCCAAGGGUUGGGCUGUUCGCCCAUUAAAGCGGUACGCGAGCUGGGUUCAGAACGUCGUGAGACAGUUCGGUCCCUAUCCGUCGUGGGCGUAGGAAAUUUGAGAGGAGCUGUCCUUAGUACGAGAGGACCGGGAUGGACAUACCUCUGGUGUACCAGUUGUCGUGCCAACGGCAUAGCUGGGUAGCUAUGUGUGGACGGGAUAAGUGCUGAAAGCAUCUAAGCAUGAAGCCCCCCUCAAGAUGAGAUUUCCCAACUUCGGUUAUAAGAUCCCUCAAAGAUGAUGAGGUUAAUAGGUUCGAGGUGGAAGCAUGGUGACAUGUGGAGCUGACGAAUACUAAUCGAUCGAAGACUUAAUCAA